CCUACGGGAGGCAGCAGUGAGGAAUAUUGGUCAAUGGACGAGAGUCUGAACCAGCCAAGUAGCGUGAAGGAUGACUGCCCUAUGGGUUGUAAACUUCUUUUAUAUGGGAAUAAAAUGUUCCACGUGUGGGAUUUUGUAUGUACCAUAUGAAUAAGGAUCGGUUAACUCCGUGCCAGCAGCCGCGGUAAUCCGGAGGAUCCGAGCGUUAUCCGGAUUUAUUGGGGUUUAAGGGAGCGUAGGUGGAUUGUUAAGUCAGUUGUGAAAGUUUGCGGCUCAACCGUAAAAUUGCAGUUGAAACUGGCAGUCUGGAGUACAGUAGAGGUGGGCGGAAUUCGUGGUGUAGCGGUGAAAUGCUUAGAUAUCACGGAGAACUCCGAUUGCGAAGGCAGCUCACUGGACUGCAACUGACACUGAGGCUCGAAAGUGUGGGUAUCAAACAGGAUUAGAUACCCCUGUAGUC
rnacentral:rRNA from 1 species